UCUUCGGAGUUGUGGGUGGUUGCAAGAUCCUGGACGAGCCCCCAAAUGAAAGAUCCCCAGAGCAGGGAGACCCUCACUCAAGUCUCGGGAUGACGAGACCCCCCCAAGAACUCACACAAGACC
rnacentral:pre_miRNA from 14 species